UCGGUGCCGCAGCUAACGCAUUAAGUACUCCGCCUGGGAAGUACGCUCGCAAGCGUGCAACUCAACGGAAUUGACGGGGACCCGCACAAGUAGCGGAUCCUGUGGUUUAAUUCGAAGCAACGCGAAGAACCUUACCUAAGCUUGACAUCCCAAUGACAUCUCCUUCAUCGGGGAGUUCCCUUCGGGGACAUUGGUGACAGGUGGUGCAUGGUUGUCGUCAGCUCGUGUCGUGAGAUGUUGGGUUAAGUCCCGCAACGAGCGCAACCCUUGUCUUUAGUUGCCAUCAUUAAGUUGGGGGCUCUAGAGAGACUGCCAUGGAUAACCUGGAGGAAGGUGGGGAUGACGUCAAAGCAUCAUGCC
rnacentral:rRNA from 1 species